UACAGAGGUCCCAAGCGUUGUUCGGAUUCAUUGGGCGUAAAGGGUGCGUAGGCGGCGCGGUAAGUCGGAUGUGAAAACUCGGGGCUCAACCCCGAGACGCCAUCCGAUACUGCGGUGACUUGAGUCUGGUAGGGGAACACGGAAUUCCUGGUGUAGCGGUGAAAUGCGCAGAUAUCAGGAGGAACACCGGUGGCGAAGGCGGCAUCCUGGACCAACACUGACGCUGAGGAGCGAAAGCCAGGGGAGCAAACGGG
rnacentral:rRNA from 1 species